GACGAACGCUGGCGGCGUGCUUAACACAUGCAAGUCGAACGGAAAGGCCCUGCUUGCAGGGUACUCGAGUGGCGAACGGGUGAGUAACACGUGGGUGAUCUGCCCUGCACUUCGGGAUAAGCCUGGGCAACUGGGUCUAAUACCUGAUAGGAGCCAUUUUUAGUGUGAUGGUUGGAAAGUUUUUUCGGUGUUGGAUGAGCUCGCGGCCUAUCAGCUUGUUGGUGGGGUAAUGGCCUACCAAGGCGGCGACGGGUAGCCGGCCUGAGAGGGUGGACGGCCACAUUGGGACUGAGGUACGGCCCAGACACCGACGGGAGGGAGCAGUGGGGAAUAUUGCACAAUGGGCGCAAGCCUGAUGCAGAGACGCCGCGUGGGGGAUGACGGCCUUCGGGUUGUAAACUACUUUCGCUAGGGACGAAGCUUUUUGUGACGGUACCUAGAUAAGAAGCACCGGCUAACUACGUG
rnacentral:rRNA from 1 species